UUUGGGGAUAUAGCUCAGUUGGUAGAGUGCUUACCUCCCCCAUGCACAAGGCCCUGGGUUCAAUCUCCAGCACCACAAAA
rnacentral:tRNA from 1 species